GAUGAACGCUGGCGGCGUGCCUAAUACAUGCAAGUCGAGCGAACAGACGAGGAGCUUGCUCCUCUGACGUUAGCGGCGGACGGGUGAGUAACACGUGGAUAACCUACCUAUAAGACUGGGAUAACUUCGGGAAACCGGAGCUAAUACCGGAUAAUAUAUUGAACCGCAUGGUUCAAUAGUGAAAGACGGUUUUGCUGUCACUUAUAGAUGGAUCCGCGCCGCAUUAGCUAGUUGGUAAGGUAACGGCUUACCAAGGCAACGAUGCGUAGCCGACCUGAGAGGGUGAUCGGCCACACUGGAACUGAGACACGGUCCAGACUCCUACGGGAGGCAGCAGUAGGGAAUCUUCCGCAAUGGGCGAAAGCCAGACGGAGCAACGCUGCGUGAGUGAUGAAGGUCUUCGGAUCGUAAAACUCUGUUAUUAGGGAAGAACAAAUGUGUAAGUAACUAUGCACGUCUUGACGGUACCUAAUCAGAAAGCCACGGCUAACUACGUG
rnacentral:rRNA from 1 species